CCUACGGGACGCAGCAGUAGGGAAUCUUCCACAAUGGACGAAAGUCUGAUGGAGCAACGCCGCGUGAGUGAAGAAGGGUUUCGGCUCAUAAAGCUCUGUUGGUAGUGAAGAAAGAUAGAGGUAGUAACUGGCCUUUAUUUGACGGUAGUUACUUAGAAAGUCACGGCUAACUACGUGCCAGCAGCCGCGGUAAUACGUAGGUGGCAAGCGUUGUCCGGAUUUAUUGGGCGUAAAGCGAGUGCAGGCGGUGCGAUAAGUCUGAUGUGAGAGCAUUCGGCUCGACCGGCGAAAUGCAGCAGAAAAUG
rnacentral:rRNA from 1 species